rnacentral:tRNA from 1 species
UGGCGGAGUAGAGAAGAGGUCUAUCUCACCAGCCUCAUAAGCUGGAGACCGUAGGUUCGAAUCCUACCUUCGCAACCA